rnacentral:rRNA from 1 species
CCUACGGGAGGCAGCAGUAAGGAAUAUUGGACAAUGGAGGCAACUCUGAUCCAGCCAUGCCGCGUGAAGGAAGACGGCCUUAUGGGUUGUAAACUUCUUUUAUACAGGAAGAAACCUUUCCACGUGUGGAAAGCUGACGGUACUGUAAGAAUAAGGAUCGGCUAACUCCGUGCCAGCAGCCGCGGUAAUACGGAGGAUCCAAGCGUUAUCCGGAAUUAUUGGGUUUAAAGGGUCCGCAGGCUGUUUGUUAAGUCAGAGGUGAAAUCCUACCGCUCAACGGUAGAACUGCCUUUGAUACUGGUAAACUUGAGUUAUUGUGAAGUAGUUAGAAUGUGUAGUGUAGCGGUGAAAUGCAUAGAUAUUACACAGAAUACCGAUUGCGAAAGCAGAUUACUAACAAUAUACUGACGCUGAGGGACGAAAGCGUGGGUAGCGAACAGGAUUAGAUACCCUGGUAGUCCACGCCGUAAACGAUGGUCACUAGCUGUUCGACGUACACUGGUACGUUGAGUGGCUAAGCGAAAGUGAUAAGUGACCCACCUGGGGAGUACGCUCGCAAGAGUGAAACUCAAAGGAAUUGACGG